AGUGAACGCUGGCGGUAGGCCUAACACAUGCAAGUCGAACGGCAGCACAGUAAGAGCUUGCUCUUACGGGUGGCGAGUGGCGGACGGGUGAGGAAUACAUCGGAAUCUACUUUUUCGUGGGGGAUAACGUAGGGAAACUUACGCUAAUACCGCAUACGACCUACGGGUGAAAGCAGGGGAUCUUCGGACCUUGCGCGAUUGAAUGAGCCGAUGUCGGAUUUGCUAGUUGGCGGGGUAAAGGCCCACCAAGGCGACGAUCCGUAGCUGGUCUGAGAGGAUGGUCAGCCACACGGGAACUGAGACACGGUCCAGACUCCUACGGGAGGCAGCAGUGGGGAAUAUUGGACAAUGGGCGCAAGCCUGAUCCAGCCAGAGCGCGUGGGUGAAGAAGGCCUUCGGGUUGUAAAGCCCUUUUGUUGGGAAAGAAAAGCAGCAGGUUAAUACCCCGCUGUUCUGACGGUACCCAAAGAAUAAGCACCGGCUAACUUCGUG
rnacentral:rRNA from 1 species